rnacentral:rRNA from 1 species
AGUGAACGCUGGCGGUAGGCCUAACACAUGCAAGUCGAACGGCAGCACAGUAAGAGCUUGCUCUUACGGGUGGCGAGUGGCGGACGGGUGAGGAAUACAUCGGAAUCUACUUUUUCGUGGGGGAUAACGUAGGGAAACUUACGCUAAUACCGCAUACGACCUACGGGUGAAAGCAGGGGAUCUUCGGACCUUGCGCGAUUGAAUGAGCCGAUGUCGGAUUAGCUAGUUGGCGGGGUAAAGGCCCACCAAGGCGACGAUCCGUAGCUGGUCUGAGAGGAUGGUCAGCCACACUGGAACUGAGACACGGUCCAGACUCCUACGGGAGGCAGCAGUGGGGAAUAUUGGACAAUGGGCGCAAGCCUGAUCCAGCCAUACCGCGUGGGUGAAGAAGGCCUUCGGGUUGUAAAGCCCUUUUGUUGGGAAAGAAAAGCAGCAGGUUAAUACCCCGCUGUUCUGACGGUACCAAAAGAAUAAGCACCGGCUAACUUCGUG